rnacentral:misc_RNA from 1 species
AUUGAAGAUCAUCCGUCCAAUUUAAGAGAAAGAUUCCGUUAACUAAAGGUGAAAAUACUAAAAUACCCUUUACUUAAUUAGGGUUAAAUACUGGAGAAACAAACCAAAUCCCCUCUAUCCCUUUUUAUCCUACAAUAAAAAUUAAGAAGCAAUUUGUAAGAAAUUACAUAAUCUGAAUAAAUUAAUAACAAUUCUAAUAAUUUUAACAAUCACCUAAUAAUUUUAACGAAAGUGAAAGUUAAGGGUUAAAUAGUUUAAUUUUUAAAAUAAGGGAUUAAAUCGUAGUAGUGAGUAAAAU